rnacentral:rRNA from 1 species
AUACGUAGGGGGCGAGCGUUGUCCGGAAUGAUUGGGCGUUGAGGGCGCGUAGGCGGCCCGGUAAGUCUGGAGUGAAAGUCCUGUUUUUAAGAUGGGAAUUGCUUUGGAUACUGUCGGGCUUGAGUGCAGGAGAGGUAAGUGGAAUUCCCAGUGUAGCGGUGAAAUGCGUAGAGAUUGGGAGGAACACCAGUGGCGAAGGCGACUUACUGGACUGUAACUGACGCUGAGGCGCGAAAGUGUAGGGAGCAAACAGGAUUAGAUACCCUGGUAGUCCACACUGUAAACGAUGAAUGCUAGGUGUAGGGGGUAUCGACCCCUUCUGUGCCGCAGUCAACACAAUAAGCAUUCCGCCUGGGGAGUACGGCCGCAAGGUUGAAACUCAAAGGAAUUGGCGGGG